UGCCCCUUUUGGUAGGAGUGUAUUUUAACUUAUUUUAUUAUUGUUCAAUUUUAUUAUUAACAGUCAAAAUUGUGAGGAGAAUUCUUAAUAACAGUAAUUGAGUCCAUUAAAUCAGAUAAUUCUCAGCAAUGACAUUGUACCAUAACCAGUGACAACACCAUAACCACUGACAAAGCACUAUAACUACUGAGCCCUGCUUGCCUUCAGUAACGGUAACUGAGUCUAAAAUACAACUGGACGAAAUGGUCAAUGGUAUAAAACACUGGAAUAUACUUUUACCUUUUUUUAGUUACUGGACGGGCCCCUCCUAGCCUUGUCCGAGAUAUCCCCCUAACUAAAUUACAAACUGAUAUGAUU